rnacentral:misc_RNA from 1 species
AUGGAUUGAAUGGUCCAAUUCAGGAGAGAAUAAGCAAUCUUCUCAAGGGGGUGAUACCCCACAAAUGAAGCGACCAAGGGUGCAUAGCCCUGUUGUGGAGGCCAAGGAGAAGGAUAAGACUUCAAAAAGUAUUGAUGCAGUGGAAUCUGAUAAAUCUGAUGAUCCAAAAUUAUUUGAUUUAUCAGCUGAUGAAAAACUAUUCAA